rnacentral:lncRNA from 1 species
CUGACUCACAGGCAGCAUGACCUGACAGGGUCGAGGGGAAAGCAAGACAGAAUGAACCACCCAUUCAACAUCAGCUGCUACUCAGCCAACUGCAGUGUGGACGCUCCAAGUCUUCCCCUAGCUGGGAUCACAUUCACUAUGGAAACCAAAAGCAGCCUCAAGCUUCUGCUCCCUCUGCCCAUCCUCCAGCUGGAAUUGUAUGCAGCCACCGCCACACCCAGGUCAAGUGGUGUCAGGAAUUGAAUCCAAGACUUCAUGCACAGUGGGCAAGAACUCAACUGAGCCACAUCCCUGUCCCUGCUCUCUUCCAGUUAGGUUUAACAAGCAGUCACACUGUGCUACGGGCAGUAGACAGCUCCAAGCUACGCACUGCUUGGUCGUCUUCCCUACAGAAAAACUUCCAUUCAAGAUGCAUCUCUGUGCUCUACGCAGAGCACCAGCCCUCCGUUGACAACCCAUAGGCCUGGACAGUGCUUCUCCACCUUCCUAAUGCUGUGACCCUUUAAUUCCUCAUGCUGUAGUAAUCACCAACCAUAAAAUUAUUUCCACUGCUAAUUCAUAACUCUAAUGUUGCUACUACUAGGAAUCGCAAUAUAAAUAUUUUUGGAGACAGUUUUGCCAAAGGGGUUGUAACCCACAGGUUGAGGAUCACCGGGGAGAUAAAGACUAGGUUGCCUGCCUUCAGUGUGGCAACGGCAUUGCCGCUUCGUUUAUAUGGUUAGUUCCAGGCCAGCCAAGGAUACGU